GCAGUCGUGGCCGAGUAUUUAAGGCGAUGGACUAGAAAUCCAUUGGGGUCUCCCCGCACAGGUUCGAAUCCUGUCGACUGCG
rnacentral:tRNA from 1 species